GCUAAAUACUUCAUUUCAUUCACUUGAUCAUCACAAUAAUCUCAUGAAGUAACUACUAAAUUUCCAUUUUAUGUGUACGGAAAUUGGUAUCAUUUGUAACCUUUCAAGUAAUGGAAAAAUAUCUGGAUUGGAAGGCAGCUGGAGUAAAACUGCUCAAUCCUGAGAUAUACCAGUCCUGGGAGAUAUCUAGUGCAGAUGGAAGAGAUCAAAACAUUGCUCCCUGAGGAAGCACCACGUGCCACAGCAUCUACUGUAAUAAAACCAGAGUAUAGGACAUAUUAAAAAUGAGCCAGUGGCACAUGUCUGCAAUCCCAACACUUGGGAGGCUGAAGCAGGAGGAUCACCGUGAGUUUGAGGCCAGCCUGAACUACACAGCAAGCCCUUGUCUCAAAAAAAAACCUCAAAUAGAUAGACAGACAGACAGACAGAUAGAUGGAUGACAUAUUCUGACAAAGUCUUGCUGUGUAGUCCAGGCUGGUAUUGAGCUGAACCUUUUGGCUUGUCAAAUUAAUCAAAAGGAAGGACCACGCAUGCUGCAGGGGAUGGAAAGGGACUGGAAAAUCAUAAACUGGGCUUUGGGCUCUCACUACACAGGCAAAGCCAGCACUUUGGACUGGAACCUGUGAAAGGAUGAGCCAAAAUAAACACCUUCCUUCCAUUUAGUUGGGCAUGUUGGAUAUUUUGUCCCAGCAAUGAGAAAGCUGACCAUACAAUGACCUUAGCAUUUCCAUCAAAUCUCAACUCAUUCCAGAUUUCAGAUUCCUGGAAACAAACCUGCCUUAAUGGAGCCAAGCGAUCAUUUCUCUUCUUUGCACCCCCCAAAAGAAUCCAAUAAUCAAACGCUAUUGAAAGAAGCUUUCAGCAACUGGAACAGAGUGGGAUCUCCAUAGAUGCGGCUAUUAGACAGCUGUGCCUUGGUACUCAAAUGCUUUGAAACUUGUUGAAUUUGGUACUGGAUGUAUUUGAAUGUGAAAUGUUGUCCCUCACAGUUAAUUUGGUACCAACCUGCAAGCUAGAACUUGUCUAUAUCAACUGCCUCGUGACUCCUUAUAAUUUUCAGCCAAAAUAAUUUGUUGGGUACUCGCUGUUUUUGGUGCUUGCCACAUCUCCAAGAACCAAUUAACAAUGAAUAAUGUGGUUUCACUGUAUUUUUAAAACAGCUUCUACAAGCAAAGGCAAAACCUACAAACUAAGUCUCAAAUCCAAGCAUCACCAUUGGUUUGUAUUUUUAGUUUGGUAGCUUUUUCUUCCCUUUGCUUUGAAGUAUUUUGGGUUUGUUUUUUUUUUAAUUCUAGGAGAAGGCCCAAAUUGGAUAAGUUUAGGUGUAGAAAUAAAACACAUGUUCUAACAAUUUUGGAGAGAUAGAUGAAUCUCUUGGGAUAUGAGAUUUCACAAAAUAUUUUAAAUUAUUUUUCAAAUAAUAUGGGUUUGGCAAAAACAAAAUGAUUUUCUAAAAAAGUUCCCUCCUUAACAUUCAAAUGGUCUCAAUGGAAAUGUAAUAUACAUAUUUCUAGCUCUCUUCACAUAACUCAGUAUUAUUUAAUAGGAAUUGGUUGAUGUUUAACAAUCCAGUGAGUACUUGACCUAUUUUUGGACAAUAAAACUACCUUCUGAGAA
rnacentral:lncRNA from 1 species